AGGAACCACAAGCAACCGCGAUUGCUUCAGUAACGGCGAGUGAAUGGGCAACACAUCUCAGCCUGAAGUGAAUCCCAACUGCACUGCCUCGGCAGAUGCGUUCGGCUCUCCUGGGUUCAACACACCCUGUGGGCUGUGGACUGGAUGGCAGUGUUCGGGCUUGGUCAACCACCAGGAAGGGCCCUGGAAAGGCCCACCAGAGCAGGAUACUGUCCUUUACAACCAAGUGUGUGGUGGACCAGCCUGGAUGUUGCUGUCUGGAUCCUGGAGUAGAGUGGCUUGGGACUGCAGCUUGAAGUGCAAGGUAUAUCCCUUGCAAGGCACAAUACUGACAUGGGACCGAUAGAGCACAAGUAGAGUGAUCGAAGGAUGCAAAGGACUCUGCAAAGAGGGUUAAAAGCCCCUGAAGCCUCAGCAGGAACGGCGGUGAGUGGUGCUUUGCUUCCAGCCCAAGGGAACCAUGCCCCUGGACCCAGCUGGGGUUUGAGUGUGACCAAGAGUUGCACCUGCCACAGUUGGGACUGAGGUGGUGUGGGUCUGAGUGAACCCCAAGUGGCUGCUGUCCCUGGCCUCCUCCAAGGUCAGGACAGGUUGCUGACACAUACCAGGUGCCCUUGGGCCAGCCCAAAGCUGGUCACUGAGCUCUGUCUUCAAGGAUGGGAUGCAAUCGUGACAGCCAAGUGGUGGCAGCAAGCCUGCCCGGGCCUGAGGGUCAUCCGAGACCAAGGGUUGAUGCUGACUGAAGUGGCACAGUGGGUCCUCUGUUGAGGCGUGCCCCCCAAGCUCUGGUAUCAAAGCAGUGCUGACUAUCUCCUGCUGUGUCUACGGACAUGGCAGUGGCUGUGUUGGGUCCUGGUGGCGCUGAUGGUUGCAUGGUGGCUGCACCAUUCUGAUGGUGGUCCCGUGUGGCUGUUGGUGCUCCAGACUCAGUGCAGUCAGAAGGCAGCUGAGCCUGGUACUUGAGUGCCACUCACUGCCCGUCUUGAAACACGGACCAAGGAGUCUAUGGAGCUUGCAUGUUGGACAGCCUUCUGUCAAACUGGAGUGCAUGGUGAAGGCAAAGCCUACCCCUGAUGAGUGCCAAGGCUUGAGUCUCCCACAGUGGAGUGAGAACUCUGACCUGGACAAGGCAGCCGAUUGGCAUGUGGAACGUCUGUGCCCAAGUUGGCUUGAGGUGAGUUGAGUCCUGCCAGGACACAUCAGAGAGAUCAUCACAGCAGAGAAGAGUGAGCUCUAGCACUUGAGUGCUUUGACUGCAAGGGGCACCAGUCCCAAAGUCCAGUGGACAGGGUUCUGAGUGAUUGCAAGGUCCAUGGGACCCGAAAGGUGGUGAACUAUACCGUGCUAUGAUGAAGCCGUGGGAAACUGCGGUGGAGGUCAGUCGCUGUUCUGACGUGCAAAUUGUGUAGCCUGAGUGCGGCAUAGGGGUGAAAGGCCAAUCGAGCCACCUAGUAGC
rnacentral:rRNA from 1 species